GUACGGCGUGCCAGUUAGGUAACCUCCCAGUGUGCCUGAGUGCUGCUGGUCCCUUUUGGAUACGUCCGAGGGGAGGAGCAGUAUUUGGGCCGGUGCGCCCCGGUAACAUGGCUAACAAUUUUCUGUUUGGGGAUAUUGUUAGCUAUGGCUAAUGACCUGGCAGGGGGGGAGGUCUCUCCACGUGUCCUUCUGACUAGCAGAGGGCACAGUGGACGAGACGUGAGGGUGGAUUUGAGGGAGACAUCCUCGUGGAGGGAGAGGCGAGUUCAGUGUGCA